rnacentral:rRNA from 1 species
CGGACGGGUGAGUAACGCGUGAGAACCUGCCUCAAGGUCGGGGACAACAGUUGGAAACGACUGCUAAUACCGGAUGAGCCGAAUAGGUAAAAGAUUUAUCGCCUUGAGAGGGGCUCGCGUCUGAUUAGCUAGAUGGUGAGGUAAAGGCUUACCAUGGCGACGAUCAGUAGCUGGUCUGAGAGGAUGAGCAGCCACACUGGGACUGAGACGCGGCCCAGACUCCUACGGGAGGCAGCAGUGGGGAAUUUUCCGCAAUGGGCGAAAGCCUGACGGAGCAAUACCGCGUGAGGGAGGAAGGCUCUUGGGUUGUAAACCUCAAAACUUAGGGAAGAAAAAACUGACGGUACCUAAUGUAAGCAUCGGCUAACUCCGUGCCAGCAGCCGCGGUAAUACGGAGGAUGCAAGCGUUAUCCGGAAUCAUUGGUGCGUAAAGAGGUCCGGUAGGUGGCACUUCAAAUCUGCUUUCAAAGACCGAAGCUCAACGUCCGGAAAGGGAGUGGAAAGCUGAAGAGCUAGAGUAUAGUAGGGGUAGAGGGAAUUCCAUAGUGUAGCGGUGAAAUGCGUAGAGAUUAGGAAGAAACACCAGUGGCGAAGGCGCUCUACUGGGCAUAUACUGACACUGAGGGACGAAAGCUAGGGGAGCGAAAGGGAUUAGAUACCCCUGUAGUCCUAGCGGUAAACGAUGGAUACUAGGCGUAGUGCUGUAAAAGGGACUGUGCCGAAGCUAACGCGUUAAGUAUCCCGCCUGGGGAGUACGCACGCAAGUGUGAAACUCAAAGGAAUUGACGGGGACCCGCACAAGCGGUGGAGGUAUGGUGGGUUUUAAUUCGAAUGGCAACGCGAAGAACCUUACCAAGGCUUGACAUCCUGCGAAUCUUGAUGAAAGUUGAGAGUGCCUAAGGGAACGCAGAGACAGGUGGUGCAUGGCUGUCGUCAGCUCGUGUCGUGAGACGUUGGGUUAAGUCCCGCAACGAGCGCAACCCUCGUCCUUAGUUGCCAGCAUUAAGUUGGGGACUCUAGGGAGACCGCCGGGGAGAACUCGGAGGAAGGUGGGGAUGACGUCAAGUCAGCAUGCCCCUUACGUCUUGGGCUACACACGUACUACAAUGGUUGGGACAAAGGGGAGCGAAGCCGCGAGGCGGAGCGAAUCUCAUCAAACCCACCCACAGUUCAGAUUGCAGGCUGAAACUCGCCAGCAUGAAGGAGGAAUCGCUAGUAAUUGC